CGCCUCUUGAAACAAACAUAAGAGGUCCCGCCUGCCCGGUGACUAUUAGUUUAACGGCCGCGGUAUUUUGACCGUGCAAAGGUAGCGCAAUCACUUGUCCUUUAAAUGAAGACCUGUAUGAAUGGCACCACGAGGGCUCAACUGUCUCCUUUCUCCUGUCAAUGAAAUUGAUCUCCCCGUGCAGAAGCGGGGAUUCCCCCAUAAGACGAGAAGACCCUAUGGAGCUUUAGGCGCCAGAACAGACUAUGUUAAGCACCCUAACACAAAAGACAAAACUAACUAGGCCCUGUUCCAAUGCCUUUGGUUGGGGCGACCGCGGGGAAACAAAAAACCCCCAUGUGGACUAAGAGCACCCUUCACUCUUACAACCAAGGGCCACAGCCCUAAGUAACAGAAUCUCUGACCAUAAAUGAUCCGGAAUAACCGAUCAACGAACCGAGUUACCCUAGGGAUAACAGCGCAAUCCCCUUCUAGAGUCCAUAUCGACAAGGGGGUUUACGACCUCGAUGUUGGAUCAGGACAUCCUAUUGGUGCAGCCGCUAUUAAGGGUUCGUUUGUUCAACGAUUAAAGUCCU
rnacentral:rRNA from 1 species